AUGCUUCUGCCUAAACGUGCCGCACUAUAGUACGAAUACAUGUAUUUGUAUUUGCACAAUGAGAGUGUUGGCGGACGGUGGAAGUAGAGAAAUAAAUCAAAAGUGUCUAAACGCUACAUAGGACCUCUAUCUUUAUGUCCAAGGACUGUAUGCUACGGCACUAAUGAUACAAUU
rnacentral:snoRNA from 1 species